UUGACACUAAGGGCGGAGUGACAUAAUUUCAGGAGUGAGGGUUAGGGAGAGGUUUCCCACUCCCUGGUGUUCUUAGUAAGCCUGGAAGCUAAUCACUAAGAGUAUCACCAGUAUGAUGACGUGCUUCAUCAUAACCCUUUCCUUAUU
rnacentral:sRNA from 1 species